GAGGCUCCACAUUUAGAUUCAUUUAUAAAGUUGCACAAACAAGAUAAUCCGAUUUGUCCAUUAUUUAACUUUAAAACUGCUCCAUCUUAUAACCUUGCUAAAUAUUUAGAUUCUCUCAUUAGAUAAAAGUUAAACAUGAAUACUGAAUACUAAUACUCCUAUAAAAAAAACACUUAUAAUUUCAUUGAACAAAUUAAUAAAAUUAAUAUUGAGCAAGUUAACAAAAUGAUUUUCUUGGUGUAAAAACUGUAUAUACAUCUAUUCCUAAACACGAAACAGUACAUUUAAAAAAAAAUAAACAUAGUAAUAAAUUUAAUACAAUCGAAGUAUAAGAAAUUAUUCAAUCAAUAAAUUUAAUUAUUAAUCAAAACUAUUUCCAAUAUAAUAAUAAAUUAUGUUCACAAAAAAAAGGGUUAGUUAUGGGUGUGAACCUUUAAAUGCUCUUUUAACUGGAAUUUGCAUGCCAAAUUAUGAAACCAAUAAUACUAUUAACAACAAAAUAUACAGUCCAUAUAUAAAAGCAUAUUAUAGUUGAUGACAUUUUAUUUAGAGGUUCAAAUAGACAAGUAGAAAAUUUAGUUAACUACUUAAAUAACAAAAUAAAUAAAAACAUUCAAUUUAAACUCGAAAUACAAAUAAAUAAUAAAUUCAAAUUCUUAGAUGUUAAAGUUUCCAUAGUUAGAAGUAAAUUCGAUUUUAGUAUUUAUAGGAAACUUACACAAACUGAUGCUAUAAUACCACGUGAUUCUAACCACUUUAAUUCUCGAAAAAUAUCACUGUUUAUUCAGUAUUCUAUAGGUUUGAAUGUAUUCCAUUAAAUAAACAUAAUUAUCAACACAAGUUUAAUAUCAUCUAUGAUAUAGAAAUAAUUUCA